GAUGAACGCUGGCGGCGUGCUUAACACAUGCAAGUCGAACGGAAAGGCUCCUGCUUGCCGGGGUCCUCGAGUGGCGAACGGGUGAGUAACACGUGGGUGAUCUGCCCUGCACUUCGGGAUAAGCCUGGGAAACUGGGUCUAAUACCGGAUAGGACCACACUUUGGUUGGUGUGGUGGAAAGUUUUUCGGUGUGGGAUGAGCUCGCGGCCUAUCAGCUUGUUGGUGGGGUAAUGGCCUACCAAGGCGUCGACGGGUAGCCGGCCUGAGAGGGUGUACGGCCACAUUGGGACUGAGAUACGGCCCAGACUCCUACGGGAGGCAGCAGUGGGGAAUAUUGCACAAUGGGCGCAAGCCUGAUGCAGCGACGCCGCGUGGGGGAUGACGGCCUUCGGGUUGUAAACUCCUUUCGCUAGGGACGAAGCGUUUUUGUGACGGUACCUGGAGAAGAAGCACCGGCUAACUACGUG
rnacentral:rRNA from 1 species